rfam:Helianthus annuus linkage group 2, whole genome shotgun sequence.
AGGCCGUGAUGGGGACACUUGCGUAAUAGCUCCUUGAACCUUUCCCAAGUUUCAUAUAAGGAUUCCCCGUCCUCUUGUGAGUAUGUAUUAAUUUUAGCCAUUAAUUU